GCCCCAGACUCCUACGGGAGGCAGCAGUGGGGAAUAUUGCACAAUGGGGGAAACCCUGAUGCAGCGACGCCGCGUGAGUGAAGAAGUAAUUCGUUAUGUAAAGCUCUAUCAGCAGGGAAGAAAAUGACGGUACCUGAGUAAGAAGCCCCGGCUAACUACGUGCCAGCAGCCGCGGUAAUACGUAGGGGGCAAGCGUUAUCCGGAUUUACUGGGUGUAAAGGGAGCGUAGACGGCAGUGCAAGUCUGGAGUGAAAGCCCGGGGCCCAACCCCGGGACUGCUCUUGGAACUGCGUGGCUGGAGUGCAGGAGGGGCAGGCGGAAUUCCUGGUGUAGCGGUGAAAUGCGUAGAUAUCAGGAGGAACACCGGUGGCGAAGGCGGCCUGCUGGACUGCAACUGACGUUGAGGCCCGAAAGCGUGGGGAGCAAACAGGAUUAGAUACCCCGGUAAUG
rnacentral:rRNA from 1 species